rnacentral:rRNA from 2 species
AGCGGCGAGCGAAGCGGGAAGAGCUCAAAUUUAUAAUCUGGCACCUUCGGUGUCCGAGUUGUAAUCUCUAGAAGUGUUUUCCGCGUUGGACCGCACACAAGUCUGUUGGAAUACAGCGGCAUAGUGGUGAAACCCCCGUAUAUGGUGCGGACGCCCAGCGCUUUGUGAUACACUUUCAAUGAGUCGAGUUGUUUGGGAAUGCAGCUCAAAUUGGGUGGUAAAUUCCAUCUAAAGCUAAAUAUUGGCGAGAGACCGAUAGCGAACAAGUACCGUGAGGGAAAGAUGAAAAGCACUUUGGAAAGAGAGUUAACAGUACGUGAAAUUGUUGGAAGGGAAACGCUUGAAGUCAGACUUGCUUGCCGGAGCUUGCUUCGGUUUGCAGGCCAGCAUCAGUUUUCCGGGGUGGAUAAUGACGGUUUGAAGGUAGCAGUCUCGGCUGUGUUAUAGCUUUCCGUUGGAUACAUCCUGGGGGACUGAGGAACGCAGCGUGCUUUUUGCGAAAGACUCGUCUUUUUCACGCUUAGGAUGCUGGUGGAAUGGCUUUAAACGACCCGUCUUGAACCACGGGACCAA